AUUGAACGCUGGCGGCAUGCCUUACACAUGCAAGUCGAACGGUAACGGGCCUUCGGGUGCCGACGAGUGGCGAACGGGUGAGUAAUACAUCGGAACGUGCCCGAUCGUGGGGGAUAACGAGGCGAAAGCUUUGCUAAUACCGCAUACGAUCUACGGAUGAAAGCAGGGGACCGCAAGGCCUUGCGCGGACGGAGCGGCCGAUGGCAGAUUAGGUAGUUGGUGGGAUAAAAGCUUACCAAGCCGACGAUCUGUAGCUGGUCUGAGAGGAUGAUCAGCCACACUGCGACUGCGACACGGCCCAGACUCCUACGGGAGGCAGCAGUGGGGAAUUUUGGACAAUGGGCGCAAGCCUGAUCCAGCCAUGCCGCGUGCAGGAUGAAGGCCUUCGGGUUGCAAACUGCUUUUGUACGGAACGAAAAGCCUUCUUUUAAUACAGGAGGGUCAUGACGGUACCGUAAGAAUAAGCACCGGCUAACUACGUG
rnacentral:rRNA from 1 species